rnacentral:tRNA from 1 species
GGUCGAGUAGCUCAGUUGGUAGAGCAACGGACUGAAAAUCCGUGUGUCGGCGGUUCAAGUCCGCCCUCGACCACCC